CAUGGUGUUAAUAGGGCGGGUGUUCACCUCUUCCCAUCUCGAACAGAGAAGUUAAGCCCCGCACCGCCGAUGGUACUAAUGUCAAAAUUGGGAGAGUAGGUAGACGCCAGGA
rfam:Emticicia oligotrophica DSM 17448, complete genome.